GGAGCUGCUCGUGGCCAGCUCCAGAGCUGUUGGGGCUCAGCAGCGAUGCCAGUGAGCCAUUGGAAACUGCUCUCAGACUGCAGAUUCUGACCAGACUCGUGUCAGGGCUUCAGGACUUUCAUUCUUCACUUAUGGAUGUCACGUGGGACAAUGUCAGAGCCUCAGUUUCCCUGCAGGAGGGAUGGAAGUUGGGAGAUGUCACAACAAUCCUGGAGAAGGUCCCCAGGAGUGAAGUGCAGAACUGCAGAUGGGCACGGUGGAGGCUGUGCUGAGCA